rnacentral:rRNA from 1 species
GUCCACGCCGUAAACGAUGUGCACUAGGUUCGGGAGGUUCUGACACCAUCCGGGCCGAAGUAAAAACGUUAAGUGCACCGCCUGGGGAGUACGGUCGCAAGAUUAAAACUCAAAGGAAUUGACGGGGGCUCACACAAGCGGUGGAGCAUGUGGCUUAAUUCGAAGCAACGCGAAGAACCUUAUCCAGGGUUUGACAUGUACGGAUUAACUCCGUGAAAGCGGAGCCACGCCCUUCGGGGUGGAACGUACACAGGUGCUGCAUGGCU